rnacentral:lncRNA from 1 species
CCUGAGUCCUCUCUAUCUCCUAACCUCCUGGGGCAGCCACAACUACCUCCCAGAAUUAAGGGGCUGCCCAGGUCCUUCCUUCCUUGAUCUCAUGUUCCCCAAGCUGGCCUCAAACCCAGAGCCUUGGCGCCCUCUGAUGGUCAUUGGGCAGUCAAACGGGAUGGGGGAAGAAACAAACAUUUAUAUAAUUCCACCGAGAACAACGUAACUGGUAUUAAUGGGGGGCCAUAAAAAGAGGCAAGAGACAGCCCUUGCCUUCGAGGAGUUCAUAGGCUAACAGAGACACAACACUCCCCCAAUAUAUACAAAAAACUUAGGCACAGGAUAAAUAGAAAAUAAUGAACCUUGGGAAGGUAUUAUUACAUCAUUGAAACCAUGGUUCUGGGAAGAAAAAUUCCCAGGAUCUAGCCCAAAGGUUAGUAGUAGAUGGGAGGUGCCUUCAGAAAUGUUUGAUGGGCCACCCAGCCUUUGUGGAAAGUUCUCUGGUGAAGCAGGAAUGCAUUAUCCCCAUGGAAGCAAAAACUUUGUCUCCUAUCCGCCUCCCUCAAGUGCCGCAGAUUGGGGUUUCAUAUACUUCUCUCCCUUCCACCUACUCAACAAUCUAGAAACAUCAGACUCUUUGCCAUUCUUAGACCAAGAUGUUCCAUCCUCUGACUCUGGGUAUUUUUUCUGCCUGUUUUGGAGGAGAGAAUUUGCAAGGCAUGCAUGCAAGACAGAAAGCAGAGGACAGAAGCUGUCAUUCAAAAUGAAGAAUCCAUUGGAAUGUGACUGGGAGACAGCUGAAGCCAAGUCAACGGCUGGAUUGGGCUGAAAAGGAGCUUUUGGCUUUUGACUUUUGGCUUCUGGCUGAUGGUGGUGGUUGGCUUUUGCUGGCUGGCUGAUUUGAAAGAAGAAAAAGAAGAAAGACAGUGGUCCUCGUAUCUCUCUGACUGACUCUGUUUCACAAUUGUGACUGAUUGCCAAUACCCUCAUUUGUAGAGAAUAGGGAAAUCCUACCCCUCUUACCUUAUCCUCUACCCUUGUCCUGUCUUCCCCAAAUAAACCCUUACUUGAGAAAAAAAGAGAAAAGAGU